ACAACAUAUAGCUGUCAUCUGUCAUUUCAUGUUAAAAUUAAUCAAAGUGGUUUUGAUAACUCCUUUUUUGUCAGAAGUAUACCUGUAGAUAAUUUUUUUUUAAUUCCACAAUUUGUUGAAAUCAUUUCUGAUUUCAUUUUCUCACCCACUGAGAGAAUUGGGUUUGUCUAUUCUACUAUCCUUCUCCUUCACCUUCAGGAAGAGCAGGAAUCUUUACAUACAGAGAAAACAGAAGAUUGGAUUUUUCAGCAUUCAGUUUUUUUCUUCUUCACACAGUCAAUGACAAGAAAUGUGAGGAAACAAACAGAGAAAGAGAGCGAUAUGGAGAUCAGUGAAGAAGAAUCCCGUUCCUCUAGCCCAGAGGUGAACCAGUCUAAUGCGCUGCUAAAACAGGAGAGCAUUGAUAAAAGACCAAAUUUUUCUCAUGAUUCAGGUGGUCCAGAACAGUGUCGGCCUGAUAUAUCUGAAGAGGUCCGUGAUAAGGUAAUGGGA
ensembl:lncRNA